rnacentral:rRNA from 1 species
CAGAGGUCCCAAGCGUUGUUCGGAUUCACUGGGCGUAAAGGGUGCGUAGGCGGUCGGGUAAGUCUGAUGUGAAAUCUCACAGCUUAACUGUGAAACUGCAUUGGAUACUAUCCGGCUUGAGGAAUGGAGGGGAGACUGGAAGUACUUGGUGUAGCAGUGAAAUGCGUAGAUAUCAAGUGGAACACCAGUGGCGAAGGCGAGUCUCUGGACAUUUCCUGACGCUGAGGCACGAAAGCCAGGGGAGCAAACGGGAUUAGAUACCCCGGUAGUCCUGGCCCUAAACGGUGCGCAUUUGCUGUGAGUGGAAUCGACCCCGCUCGUGGCGAAGCUAACGCGUUAAAUGCGCCGCCUGGGAAAUACGGCCGCAAGGUUA